CGGGUAGUGGCUCAGCUUGGUAGAGCGCUUGGUUCGGGACCAAGAGGUCGCUGGUUCAAAUCCAGUCUAUCCGA
rnacentral:tRNA from 1 species